GGAUUAGAUACCCUGGUAGUCCACGCCGUAAACGAUGGGUGCUAGCUGUCGGCAGGCAUGCUUGUCGGUGGCGCAGCUAACGCAUUAAGCACCCCGCCUGGGGAGUACGGUCGCAAGAUUAAAACUCAAAGGAAUUGACGGGGGCCCGCACAAGCGGUGGAACAUGUGGUUUAAUUCGAUAAUACGCGAGGAACCUUACCUGGGCUCGAAUGUCUCUGCUACCUCGAGAAAUCGAGGGUUCCUUCGGGACAGAGGACAAGGUGCUGCAUGGCUGUCGUCAGCUCGUGCUG
rnacentral:rRNA from 1 species